GACGAACGCUGGCGGCGUGCCUAAUACAUGCAAGUUGAGCGCUGAAGGUUGGUACUUGUACCAACUGGAUGAGCAGCGAACGGGUGAGUAACGCGUGGGGAAUCUGCCUUUGAGCGGGGGACAACAUUUGGAAACGAAUGCUAAUACCGCAUAAAAACUUUAAACACAAGUUUUAAGUUUGAAAGAUGCAAUUGCAUCACUCAAAGAUGAUCCCGCGUUGUAUUAGCUAGUUGGUGAGGUAAAGGCUCACCAAGGCGAUGAUACAUAGCCGACCUGAGAGGGUGAUCGGCCACAGUGGGACUGAGACACGGCCCAAACUCCUACGGGAGGCAGCAGUAGGGAAUCUUCGGCAAUAGACGAAAGUCUGACCGAGCAACGCCGCGUGAGUGAAGAAGGUUGUCGGAUCGUAAAACUCUGUUGGUAGAGAAGGACGUUGGUGAGAGUGGAAAGCUCAUCAAGUGACGGUAACUACCCAGAAAGGGACGGCUAACUACGUG
rnacentral:rRNA from 1 species